CUCAAAAUGUCUUCUACUUUUAUAUGUAAGAAUAACUUCCUGUUUUCCAAAUGCGCAGUGCAAAUUGAAGGGUGGCUGAUGAAGCUGCAGAUGUACACACAGCUAAACAGAUAAAAGAUCAGGACCAAAUGGAAAUGAUUGGAGUGGGGAGGAGAGAAGGAAACAAAAGUGGAGGCAACUGUAAUGGACAGGUUGUGUGUCCUUGCCUUCAUUGACUGUAUCCAACUACUGCGUUACCAGAUCACCUCUACUGGCUACUCUAUCUGGAAGCUGGCAAGGAAGAAGAGUAAAGAGAGCACUGAUUUGCUUUCUCGCUCUCUGAAGAAAGGAUGCAGAUUCCUAGAUUCAAGCAAUUAUUUUCUUUUCUAUUCUAAUUUUGCAACUUCCUUUUUUUCUAAUAGAGAUUUAUCUUUUGCUAAUCAUCUUGCGAAACAGAUUUAACAAGAUAGUAGAAGUAUUUCAAAGAGGGUUGAAAAAAUCUGGAUUCUCCAGCACUCCCUGUCCAGACUCUCAGGAGAGAGUUCAUGUCAAUGUAGGGGUUUACUUUUCUCUCUCUUUGACAUUUUUCAAUAAGAAAAUAUGUAUGCUGGUAUACUUGCUGGAUAAAGCCCAGAGCUGGAUAGUAGCAAGACUUAGAUACCAGUGAAAUUCAACAGUAGGGUCAAAAGAUCACUCCAAAGCUUCUAUUUUGGAUCUGAUCAGUGGUCCUGAUGGCCAGUGGUGCUUGAAGGUUGGUUUGCUGAAGGCUGAAAUGCACCUUUGAGUUUGUACGUGGGCAGGGCUAUAUUUCAAGGUUUUGGAUACAACCCACAAGCUCCCACCACACCCAGCCCCCACCAGGCAACUUAGUGAGGGCAGCUUCUUGCAGGUCACAGUCAUUUCAUCCACUUUUGGAUGCUAAUUUUCAUAAGUUUAAGGAAUUAUACAUACUCUAACUCAGCAUUUAGGCUUUCUCCCUCACUGCUCAUUUUGGAACUCAUUUUAUGUAUCAUAGAGAUAUAAACAGCAGGUGGGCAUGGUGAUUGGGCUAAAAAGGAAGGCAGCAUAUCAGAAAGUGCCCUGGAAUGGUUGUAUGUGAGCUAUAGGUAUAUAAACACGGCUGACCGAACAUCUCAUUGUACAUUGAGGUCAUUCAAGUUGUUUGUGGUAUUGUGGUAUACAAAGAAACUGCUAUCCUGCCUUUGCUACUUCUGUGUCCUUAGUCUUAUAAAAUGUUAACAGCUUAAGAUGAACAAAGUUUUUUUAAAUGACACAACUAGGAAACAAUGGAAUAAGAAUAGACUGGUUUCUGGAGCUGGUGUUCAACCACACAAGACAUGUUGAGUCUAUACAACUCUUGUAAACAUGUUACCCCUGUAGACACAAGCACAGGCAGAACCAAGAGGUCAUUUCUGUCCAAAAGAUUGACUUGGUAGCUAACUGCAGCUAAAUACUGACUACUUCAGUGCUUACAGACCCAGGGGAGACCUGUAUGAAAAUAUCUUAUUGCCCUCUUCUGAGUCAAAUUAUCCCAGACGUUGUGUUCAUUCUAACUGUUGAGUUAAAUGAAAUGAAGCUCUGGAAAGUAAACAACUCAUGACUCCUAGAGAAAAGGUGACAGAAAGUUAAGUAUGGCACACUUCGCUGUUGCUUUCACUGAAUAAUCUUUUCCUUUACUUAGUUCUUCUACACGAAAUGGAGUAUGAUUUCACUCUGUCUGUAUCCAUUUGUUUAGUCCUUCUUUCUACAUUUUGCAGAGCUUCUGCUGUUGUUUUCUCUGGCAAUUUUGUAGAGCUCGGAGUAACUGAAAAAAAAUAAUAAUACUCGACUGGAAAAAAAUAAACUUUAUGGAAAAGUGCA
ensembl:lncRNA